GACGAACGCUGGCGGCGUGCUUAACACAUGCAAGUCGAACGGUGAAGGGGCCUGCUUUUGUGGGCCCUGGAUGAGUGGCGAACGGGUGAGUAACACGUGAGUAACCUGCCCCCUUCUUCUGGAUAACCGCAUGAAAGUGUGGCUAAUACGGGAUAUUCUGGGUCUGUCGCAUGAUGGGUCUGGGAAAGAUUGCGCCUUUGGGUGUUUUUGGUGGGGGAUGGGCUCGCGGCCUAUCAGCUUGUUGGUGGGGUGUUGGCCUACCAAGGCGGUGACGGGUAGCCGGCCUGAGAGGGUGGACGGUCACACUGGGACUGAGACACGGCCCAGACUCCUACGGGAGGCAGCAGUGGGGAAUAUUGCACAAGGGGCGCAAGCCUGAUGCAGCGACGCCGCGUGAGGGAUGGAGGCCUUCGGGUUGUAAACCUUUUUCGCCAGUGAAGCAGGCCUGCUCCUUGUGGGUGGGUUGACGGUAGCUGGAUAAGAAGCGCCGGCUAACUACGUG
rnacentral:rRNA from 1 species